rnacentral:rRNA from 1 species
UACGUAGGUGGCAAGCGUUAUCCGGAUUUAUUGGGCGUAAAGGGAACGCAGGCGGUCUUUUAAGUCUGAUGUGAAAGCCUUCGGCUUAACCGGAGUAGUGCAUUGGAAACUGGGAGACUUGAGUGCAGAAGAGGAGAGUGGAACUCCAUGUGUAGCGGUGAAAUGCGUAGAUAUAUGGAGGAACACCGGUGGCGAGAGCGGCUCUCUGGCCUGUAACUGACACUGAGGCUCGAAAGCGUGGGGAGCAAACAGG